UUGAACGCUGGCGGUAUGCUUUACACAUGCAAGUCGAACGGCAGCACGGGGCAACCUGGUGGCGAGUGGCGAACGGGUGAGUAACAUAUCGGAACAUAUCCGGAAGUGGGGGAUAACGUAGCGAAAGUUACGCUAAUACCGCAUAUGCCCUGAGGGGGAAAGCAGGGGAUCUUCGGACCUUGUGCGAAUGGAGCGGCCGAUGUCAGAUUAGCUAGUUGGUGGGGUAAAGGCCCACCAAGGCGACGAUCUGUAGCGGGUCUGAGAGGAUGAUCCGCCACACUGGGACUGAGACACGGCCCAGACUCCUACGGGAGGCAGCAGUGGGGAAUUUUGGACAAUGGGCGCAAGCCUGAUCCAGCCAUGCCGCGUGCGGGACGAAGGCCUUCGGGUUGUAAACCGCUUUCAGCCGGAAAGAAAUCGUCAAGGCUAAUAUCCUUGAUGGAUGACGGUACCGGAAGAAGAAGCACCGGCUAACUACGU
rnacentral:rRNA from 1 species